UGUUUUCCAUGUACAUAUUGCUCAAUAUUUAAUAUAUGUUAUUAAGAUCAUAGAGCUCCUUGGAAUAAUAUUAAACUUAUCAAGUGAACACAAUCUCAAAGAAAUUAUGAUCAUGAUGGGCAUGCAUUUUUUCUAGAGGUGAAAAAUUAUAGAAUGUUUAAAUGUCAUGUAAAUCUAUCUUCGGAUGCAUUUUGCCCCUGUAAACAUGCGUCUCUGUGAUCUAGGCUGUAAUCAAAUCCUGCAAAAAUCUGAAGCUGUGAACAUGAGAACAUACUUUUUUUGGUUAUUUCCAACAGGCAAGAUUAAACCAUUAUAAACUGACAAAAGAGGGGUUUCAAAAUAUGAAUUAAAGUCCAGAGGUCACAGGGACUUUUCAAGACAUACAAAAUGCAGCCAUUGGCUGUUGAAACACAUGCCAGUCAGGUGAGAGGUAGAGAAAUCCAUCCUAUCAACCGAUAUUCCUUCUGUCACCACUAACCACGACUUUACCUCACAUAGGCAGCCGGGAGGAGAGCAGACUCCAUCCCGGAUCCACCGUCACCAAAGGAAAGAGCCGUCAUGGAGUUUGAAUCCCGCCAAAAUAUCAAACCAUCAAAAUCCUGCCUACCAAGACUAAUCUCUGUCCCCCUCUCUCCUAGCUCUUGGCGUGGCGCAGCUUGCGGCUGAAGUACUCUGGCGCCGCGUCCACCAGCCACUCGGCGUCCACCAGGCAGAGGUCCCUCAUGUAGCAGCGCGACGUGUGCAGCAGCUCGUUGAACACCACGUACGCCGGCUUGGCCUGGAACAGCACCGAGGACGGGUGGACGGCCACGCUCUGGUGGGAGUCCAGAGCCACGUAGGAGCCGUCGGGCUGCAGCUCGGCGGCGUUGACGAACAUCCCGUGGGCGAGGCAGCGCCGCACGCUCACCGUGUCCGACCCGCACGACUCCAGCUUCAUGUUCAGCUGGAAGGGCGACACAGAGGAAUUUUACCUUAGCAUAUCGAGGCUCCAGGGGAAAGCUGGCCAUCUUCUUGCCCAGAGCAGUGAGGGUCACCAGCUGCUCCUUCUUCUCCAGGGCCCCCAAGAGCUCCAACUGGACCACAGCAGCAUGGAUGGCCCCUGGAACACAACAGAUCUGUUAACUCUAUCCAAGGCCACUACACCUUCUGAGCACAUUCACAGAAGAGCGCUUGGGAGGACCACCGACCGGGCUGGAAGACCCUGAGCUGUUGUGCGGGGGGGAGAGAGGCGUACAGGGCGAUGACCAGCAUGGGCCCGCAGCCGUCGGGCAGGUGUUUGGAGAUGUCCCGGCAUGUCCGCGCCAGGGCCUCGAUCUCCUCCUGACCCGUCAUGAAGACCAAGAUGUCAUGGGACGGAGGCGCUUCCUGCACAUAAACAAAGGGGGCGGGGUUUAAAUGUUUGUUUGUUUAUAAAGGAAGUCUCUUGUUGGCUCAAGAAAAAUGAGCGCAAAAAAAAAAAUAAGAGAACAAUAUCCUCAAAAAGACAUCAAUACUGGAGAGGUUACCCUUCUCUACAAACACGAGAGGAAAGAAAGAGCAGCACCUGGUGGAUUUGGAAGAUGGUGAUCAGUGCAGCCUGGAGAUAGUCCGACUGGGGCUGCUUGGUGUAGUAGAUCUGGAUGGGAUGCUGCCUGCCCUCCAGGUACAACACCGGGGACUUGUUGAAGUAGUCCGAAAACAGGUCCACGUCCAUGGUGGCGGACAUCACUAUAACCUGGAGAGGCAUUAGGAAUAAGAUGCAAGUUAUAUUUAGCAUAGAAAAAUCUUUUGCGAUUAAUCGUGAGUUAACUAUGACAUUAAUGCGAUUAAUCACGAUUAAAUAUUUUAAUCGCUUGACAGCUCUAGUAUUUACUUAAGCGCAAAUUGCUCAAAAAACAUAAAACUACUAAAGAAAAACUCAAUGUGUUGAAACAGUGUUUGGUCCACACUUACUGACACAAACUACCGUUGCUCAACUGCCGGGGUGGCGUGAGUGGAAGGAGUUUUGGGCGUGUCCAUAGUAAGAUUCUGGUAAACUAUGAGCCUUUUUUAUUUGUAGAAUAUAUCAGUUAUAGGAGGUAAUUUUAUUGAUAAUAUUUUUAAAAUCAGCAUUGACCACCGAUAUAUCCAGGUUCAUUUAAGCUACGAGCAAGUUGUAAUGUUACACACUGCGACUUUAAAGGAUCUCAGAUCAUAUCUGUAAACCCAGUUAUAGGGUUAGGGUUAGUAGUACAUAAUGUAGUAGUAUACAAUUAUACUAGGUGUUACGUCAAGCAAGUCAUAACAUGUAAAAGAAGAAACUUUAAAAUGAGACUUGAUAAUCUAUUUUAAAUACAUGGAGAACUGUCCCGGUACCUUGAGUGGGACCUUGUUGAGCUCUCUACGCCUCCUCUGGGCGGUCUUCACCACGCCAAACAGCACGUCGGUGUGCAUGGUGCGUUCAUGGGCCUCGUCCAGGACCACCACGGUGUAGCGCAGCAUUAAAGGAUCUCCGAUGGCUUCGCGAAGCAACAUGCCGUCCGUCAUGAACUUAAGCUUGGUCUCGGAUGAGGUGACAUCCUCAAAUCGUACCGUGUAGCCGACCUAGCAGGGAGAGAAAAGUGUUGGCUACCUGAUUGGGUCCUCGAAGGCUUUUCAGGUCCAUGACUCGCUUUUGAAGCUUUGAAAAAACCUUUUGACCCACUACUUGCAUCUACCUCCCCACACGUAAUUAUGUCCCUUUCAAUAUCAAGCCACAAUUGUGGCAUGAAUGUGUAGGAAUCAUUUGGUAUUUGAACCCUUUUUUAAUAAGGCUUCUAUCACAUCUUAAUGAUUGCACCGUCAUUUUCAUUAUUCUUCCCCCCUUUUGUAUGCAUUGUCUGUA